AGAUAGUAGAAAGAAACAAAUGUGUAACAUAACUUAAGCUACCACAUUGAAUACAACCGUUCAGUACCCAUCAGGGCUAUUUGAAGACACAAUACCCCAGGUAAGUGGCCACAUGUGGCCACGCUUACGUGCGUGCGCUCAGCGCAUCCCAACAAAGGAACAAAAACGUCGCAAAAACUACACACACCAGUACAUAUUCGCCCGUUCACUACACAUCCGGUAAACGCCGCGCAUCUCUACGAGGACAAGGCGUAAAGACUCAGCAGUAUUUUCAAAUCCUUUUAAAGUCAGACCUUUAGAGACGUUUGCCAUGACGUUUUUUGUAGUGGAUGUUGAAUUCAGGCGGAAGCUUCGGACAACGUUAACUCGACAUGAGAUCCUCAUUGGACUGAUCUUGGCCGUGUUUGCCGUUGUGUCGAUGAGCGGCUUGGACCUCUUUCGUGGCCCACAGAUUCGAGACCAUGAAACGCUGCCAAAUUUGGCACAGAUCCAAGGUGCCAUACUUGGAUCGCAUUGCAAUCCAAAGUUUCCUAAAACCUGCCUUCCGUAAAACACUCGUGCCAUUUACGAGUUCCUAUUCCUGCUGAACCGUGUCAAAGAAACCGUAUCUAUUUGAUAAUAAAUUUUAAUUUCACACA